AUGUCUUUGGCACCUUCCAUCCCUUCCAUCAAGGUGAAGGUGGGACGCAUCGCCCCGCCGCCUCCGUACCGGGCAUGCAAGUCGUUCGCCGUGAUCAGGAGCUCCAAGGCCGAGGGGCCCAGGAGACCCACGGCGCCUCCACUGUCGCCGCCCCCGCCUAUGCCUCCCAAGACGCCAGCCCUGUCCACCCCUCCGAGCCUGUCCCAGCCACCGACCCCAGUGAAGCCAGCACAGCCAUCACCUCCUCCUCCCGAGACCAAACCGGCAGUGGCUGCCGCUGCGACGCCACCGGUGGGAGGGGUUGUGACGUUCGAGUACCAGAGGAAGGUGGCCAAGGAGCUACAGGAAUACUUCAAGAAGAAGAAGCUGGAGGAGACCAACCAGGGACCCUUCUUUGGGUGGUUGGCCAAGAAUGAGAUUGCCAAUGGAAGAUGGGCUAUGUUUGGGUUUGCAGUGGGGAUGCUAACAGAGUACGCAACAGGCUCGGAUUUCGUUGAGCAAAUGAAGAUCCUUCUCUCCAAUUUUGGGAUUGUGGAUUUGGAUUGA
rnacentral:rRNA from 1 species